UUCAAAUGGACUUUUUUUUUUUUUGUUAUAAACAAGUAACUGACUAUAAAACUGUCAUCAAGUCACUUGGUGUGCAUCCAAGUUUCCUGAUUUGGUAUUACCAGCACACACAACACAUUUAGAACUAAACAAUCAAACCAAAGAGUUUCCAAACAAGAAUGAGGUGAACAUUGUGACAUUUUGAAGUACAGCUUGGAUUGAUCAAGUCAUUCCAAGAAGCAAGUUUUGAGUAGGCACCAUACUGUUGAGAUAGCCAGUGACACACAUUACAGAGUAACUUUUGUAGAGUCAUUUCACUUACAUAGUAACGGGGACAGAAAAGUUGACAUUUCAUGAGGGUUUGAGAAACCAUAUACAAUUAGGUCUAAUAAGAUACUGCAUUUUCUUUGUAGUUUUUUUUUUUUUUUUUUG